rnacentral:lncRNA from 1 species
UUUUUUUUUUAAUUUUUUUUAUUUUUUGGCAGUGACAACAUUGAAUCCUUAACCACAAGGUCACCAGGGAACCUCGAUACCCUGAAAAUUCUAACUGCACUCACUGUUCAGGCACAAAGUCAUGCUUGGAUGUGAGCAGGUGAUUGGACAGCUCACCAUACAGAGGUCUGACUUGUACCCCACUGAGCUGUGAGGAAACCAUGGAUCCUGGGGAAGGUCUGUGGGUGGAACUGUGUCCAGAGAAAACACAGCCUUUCCAAUAAUAAGAUCCACCAUCCUAAACACUUGAGGGAGGUGGCGGGCAUGAGAAAUAGAAGGCUUGUCGUUGCCCAAGCGCAGCAGCACAUGGGGAGCACACCUCUGAUACAGGCCACCAAGAGGUGACUGGAAUCCUGCUGUGACAACCUGCCUGCACAGUGUUUCCAAUAUACAUGCCACCUCAUCGACACCCACAAUAAUCCCCUGGGUGAGUUUUAGUACCAUCACUCCUGUUGUGCCAAUGAGCAAAAUACAGCUCAGAGGGGCUGUCACCUGACCCAGGUCCACCAACAUGCCCAGAUUCAAGGCCAAAGUCUACUUCACUCUAUAAGGUGUGCUCUUUUCACUAUAAACAAGGACAAAACUCCCACAGACAGACAUGGAAUUCUGGGUUCACCAGAUCCUUAGUCUGUCCCAAAAGGGCAAAUUCUGUCAUUAAUUGGCAUUUAUCAACUCCCUUUCUUUAUAUUAACGAGUGUUAUGAAAUAUGUUAUAGGAGUUCCUGUCGUGGCUCAGUGGUUAAUGAAUCUGACUAGCAUCCAUGAGGAUGCAGGUUCGAUCCCUAGCCGGGCACAGUGGGUUAAGGAUCUAGCAUUGCCACAGCUGUGGCAUAUGUCAUAACUGCGGCUUGGGUCUACUCCCUGGCCCGGGAACUCCAUAUGCCACCAGGCAGCCAAAAAAAGAAAAAAGAACUAAAGAUUUAAGCAGUUGUUUCAUAGAAGCUGAAACCUGAAUGAUCAAUUAGGUUCAACCCACUAAGAUGGUCAACCCACUAAUAAACAUGAAUGCAAAUCAAAACCAUGUGAAGUAUCACAGAACUUCCAUCAGAUUAGUAAAAAAUUUUAAAUUUGAUAAUACCAUUGUUUGGAGGAUAUGAAGCAAACAGAAUUGUCAGCUGAAGUGUGAACUGGGGAAACCACUUUGGAGCCAGUUUGGUAUUAUAUGGUGAAAGUGAAGAUGCAGACACCCUGUGAUUCAGGGAAGUAGCCUGGAGAGGCUAUAACCGGGGGCCCCAGGGGGGGUCACUGCAGCACUGUCUGUCUCAGCAAAACACUGGAAACGAAGCAAAGGUCCCCCAACAAUAGAAAGGAUAAAUAAAUGCUCGUACAAUGGAACACUAUUCAUCAGUGAAAAUGAAAUACACCUAUACACAACAUGGAUUACUCUCAAGAAUCUAUGUUAAGUAAGAAACUUAAAUCACUGAAAACAAAAUGAUUUGUGAAGCUCAAAAACAAACAAAAUUAAACAAUACAUUGUUUAGCAAUACAAACACAUGUGGUAAAACUAUAAUGAAAAGCAAGAGAAGGAUAAAAACCAAAUUCAGUGCUCACUUGGGGCAGGAAUGGGACAGGAUACGGGGAGGGCCGCUCCAAAGGUAACAGUAACAUUCAGUUUUAUAAAUUGGGUGACAGGUACAGGAGCCUUCCUUACAGCCUUAUCUUUGAUUCCACACAUAUUCUUUUGUAUCUACUCAGUAUUUAAGAAAACAAUUUACAAAAGUACACAAUGUUCCUUCUGACUUUAAACAAUGAAGCAUUAACCUGGACAGUUGACAGAGUUACAGUAAACCAGGAAAGUCCCUGACAGGGGCCCUCGAGGCCCUGAGACUACAGAAAUGAGAUGUGCUUCACCAACCUCGCUUCUGAGCUGCAGAGAGACAACUUCCCACUGGGCCCUGGAGCCUUCCAUUUAGGACAGGAAAGUUACUGCCGAGACUACCCGCCCGUGCAGGAAGCGGUGCGGGUGGGGUAGGGAGAACAGGUUCUACUUGCCUGUUUAAGACCAGAAGCUGAACAGACUUCUGACGUGACAAUGAACCCACCCAGCCUGUUUUCCGGUCCAGACCCUACUCUGGGCUGGAAUCGGCACCUCUGCAGACUGCCGUUUAGACAUGAGUGAACAACUCUCAAUUCUAACCAUGCCCUUUGCUUCCCCUCCCUUGAAGCUCAAGGCUCAACUCUCCAAUUUACCACAAGCGGGUCUGAGUCUAAAAGCCCAUGCCCUGGUUUUCUGUUUAUCUGUGACCACACUACUGAGGUCAACCUUAACUGGCCCUUGGACUCUAGAGGUACUGAUAUCCACGAGGACCUUAGGAGUGCCAGACUCCGAUGCCAGCACUCAGGCACACACAUCUGCAGCACAUGCUGAAAUCAGUCGGUGCUAAAAUGCUUACUCUUUAUGACUGCCACUACUCCAAUCAUUUAAAAACAGGGCCAGCAAAAGAAGGAGAGUACGGUCUCCACAAUAUGCUUUGUGGGGGAGUUCCCUUGUGGCUCAGUGGUUAAGGAUCCCAACUAGGAUACAUGAGGUUGCGGGUUCGAUCCCUGGCCUUGUUCAGUGGGUUAAGGAUCUGGCGUUGCCAUGAGCUGUGGUGUAGGCCGACAGCUGCGGCUCAGAUCUGGCAUUGCUGUGGCUAUGGUGUAGCUCCAAUUAGACCCCCUGGCCUGGGAACCUCUAUAUGGCUCAGGUGCGGUCCUAAAAAGCCAAAAAAAAAAAAAUGCUUUGUGGGUAAAAUGUAUUGGGAAUUUUUCGUUUCCUCUAAGGCUGGGAUCCCUCCCUUUUGUGGUGUCUGUCACCCUGCCAGACACCAUGUCUGCCAACCUCCGUGUCACCCACGCGGCACCAUCCUUGGGGGAAUUCCAGGACGGUAGAGAGUGGCCCACCGGAUCUUUUUUGGUGGCAAACUGUUAAACCUGAAGCCCUGCCCACAGAAGAUGCCCCAAAACGGAGGGCUCAGUAUAUGUGCAACAAAAUCAGGCCAUCAACUCUUAAAAAUGACGGCCCCCAUCUACACGUUCAGACGUGCAUUGGCGCAGAAGAGCCGCAAAGGACACACAGGUGCUGUUAGCAGUUAUCUGGGAGGGGCCCACGUCAGGUGAGGGAGGGUGACUUACUCUCCGCAGCACUUUCUCUAGAACCUUCUGACUUCUGCACCUCGUGCAUGUAUCCCUAUUUUUUUCUGCCUCCUGCAUAUUUUCUUUCCUGACCUUCUGAAGGGCCAUCCUCUCCUAAGACACACACAAUAACGUUAGUUACCAAUUAAGGAAUCAAGGAGUUGGCUAAGCAUUUUCUGGGUUACCUCAUUAACAAUUCCACCCAGUAAAGUUAGUGUGAGGCAUCAUUACCCCCAGGAAAUGGAGGUGCAGAGAGAUCAAGCACUUUGCCCAAAGGUACACGGCUAGUAAGUACAGAACCAAGGUGGUCCUCUCUUCCGACAACAGCAAGCCAAACCCUCAUCACGCUGGAGGACCUCCAGCCUGAUCAUCCAUUCAUCCAACAACAUUUACUGAGCACCAGCUACGUGCCAGAAAGUGACCCACAUGGUGAGAAUACCAGGAGAAACAAGACCUGUCCCCAAUGGUGGCACCACAGGGAGACAGGCAAGGAGAACCAUGACCAUCACAGGGGGGAAGCAUGAAUUGUGAGACCUGUGCAAGAUGCUAAGAAAUCACAGGGAGGGGCUCCAAACUCAGCUGUGGUGGCAGAGGGCUGGGCAGGGCUGGCAAAAGGCUUCCCAGAAGCAUCCGAGAUUGAAGGAAUUAAAAAGGCAGAGAGAAUCCUUCCCUUCCCAAAGGACCCCUAGGCACAAUUCUAUGAAGUAGAUACUGUUACCCCUAUUUUACAGAUGAGGAAACUGAGGUGUAGCAAUGAAGUAACUGGCCCUCAGGACAAAGAGCCACUAACCAGGGAAGAAGACAUUCAUACCUGACUCCAGAGUCUCUGCAGCCUCUAUCCAAAGGGAGCUUUACGGUUACCAAUCCAAAACAUGUCAUGUAGGAGUUCCCGUCGUGGCUCAGCAAUUAACGAACCCGACUAGUAUCCAUGAAGAUUCAGGUUCAAUCCCUGGCCUUGUUCAGUGGGUUAUGGAUCCAGCGUGGUUGUGGCUGUGGCUCCAACUGGCCCCCUAGCCUGGAAACCUUCAUUUGCUGUGGGUGUGGCCCUUAAAAAAAAAAAAAAAAAAAAAAAAAG